GCGUUAGUAGUAUAGCGGUAGAAUAGUUGCCUUCCAAGCAAUUGGCCCGGGUUCGACUCCCGGCUGACGCA
rfam:Zancudomyces culisetae strain COL-18-3 scaffold-273, whole genome shotgun sequence.